UCAGCCUGUGAUUUUGAAUAAGAGACCCAGGCCACAGCCAAGCAGGACCAUUGCCAAUCACAGACUCCUCAGUGGGAAAUCAAUAUUUGUUUAUUUGGUUGUCUGUUGCUGCAGCCAAGGUUAAUACACAAAUUAUGUAACAACCUAAGCUCAGCCACAGCUUGUCAUAUGCUGCAGGGAAGCUGGGGAUCCUAGAGGCUGGCUUUCCUAUGUGGAGUAAAAGCCUAUUCAUGUAUGAAGUCACCAGACAAGGGCAGAAUCAAGAAAUGUCACGAGAGCAAGAACCCUGGAGCCUGGAGCCCCUGAUCUGAGCUGUGCCUGAAGACUCAAGGUGGACACAAUGUUUUAGUGAGUGACAUCUGAUGGCAUCUGGAGCCCAGGCCUAUAUGAUACAAGGCUUGCCUAUCAAUUAGACCUGGAACUACCCAAGAUUCCAUUCUACAGUAGUUCCCCUCUGAGUGUGGAAAACACCACUCCUGCUAAAGAUCACACAGAGACAUUUUCUACUGUGCUCUAUAAGAUGUUUUGAAAAAAUAUCUUAAGAGGAUUUAAUUUGUCUUCCUACUACUGGCAUCUGGGAAGGAAAAUAACAAGAAUGUGUUUCUCACCACUUACAUCUGUUGAGAUACUGGGAGCUGUGACUGUCAACAUUUUUGGACGGAGAAGCCAGUUGGUGGAAGAGGGUAUUGAGGACUUUGAGCUGCACCCCUGAUCGCCACCUGCUGGUCCCCUGAUGUCACUGCCUAUAUUGCCGGCACCCCUAGUUUUCUAGGUCUGAACUUCCCAUUCAGUUGGCUCAGCUGAGUAUUAUUAAACGAUUUCUGUCUGCAGCUAUGCCUAGACACAACCUCGGAGAGAGGGAGGUAAUUCAGAGGAGUGAAGGAAAAUGAAGGGAUUACAAAAAAUCGUUCACUUAACAUAGGGGCGAGUGUUAUAAAAAGAGUAUGGGGGUUCCCCAAAUUCAUCAUAUUCAUUCAUAUUCAAAGGUGUAAAUGGUGAUCUUCUCUCCCUUUCCCUUUCCCCUCCCUCCUGGAUAGAGGGGUGGCAUCUCAGGAGGCAGGUCUUGGGGAAGUGGGUGGUAAGGGCAACGUGUCCCUCAGCUGAAGAGGCAGGCCAUUAUGGGCAGGGAGGUAUCAUGUGGAGGUGGGGACAGUGGUGUAUCUAGCAUCUGAGGAGGCAGGGAGGGACGAGCUCAGAGGUGGGGACAGGGAAGGAUGAUAUUGAGCAAAUGAGUAUAUCUGCUGGGAAUAAUGGCAGUCAAGCUUCUUACUUCCUGAGAAGGUAUUUAUAAACGUGGAAGAGGGGGAAAGGCUUGGAUUUGAAUUGAGAAUAUUGAUACGAAUUCACACGAGGUGUGUAAACACCCUUACACACAGGGACAUAGAAAUAAUAAAUGUGUGUGUUUGUGUGGA